rnacentral:tRNA from 1 species
GGUUUGUAGUUCAGUGGUAGAGCACUUGCCUAGCAUGUGUGAGGCACUGGGUUCAAUCCUCAGCACCA